rnacentral:rRNA from 1 species
UUUCCCUGAAACAAGGGAAAACAUUGGCAGCAGUAAAGAAUUUUAUGCAAUAUACGAAAGUAAGACAUAGGCAGAACCUUUUUACCUGUCAAAUUAAGUGCCAGCAGACGCGGUGAAACUUAAGGGUUUGUUUUUUAGAAAAAGCAGAAAGCGUGUAAAGGUAAAACAUUUAAAAUAAAUAGAAUUUUUUUAGUAAUGGUGGAAUAUUAAAAGAAAAAAAAGAAUUUUUUAUGUGAAGACAAUUUAUUUUUUUUCUUUAACACGAAGGUUCUGGGAGCAAACAGGAUCAGAUACCCUGGUAGUCGAUACAGUAAAAGAAAGUCGCUUGAGUAGUACGGUCGCAAGAUUAAAAUUCAAAAAACUUGGCUGUUCAUUGUUAUUUAGAGGAGCGUGUUGCUUAAUUCGAUAGUCCGCGAGUUACCUUACCAAAACUAGCUUUUUCAGGUGUUGCAUGGCCGUCGUCAAUUUAUGUUUGAUACAAUAGAUUAAACCCUAGAAAGGUUGAAGUCAGGUAUUAUUGCCUUUAUGUUUUGGGGUUAAAUGCGCUACAUUUUUUUUUUAAUAAAAAAAAAGAGUUCGGAUUGUCUUUAAAAGAGGAUGAUUAAGUUGGAUUUAAUAGUAAUUGAAAAGUAGAGCGUUUCAAUGAAUUUGCCGCAAUGUUAGUACAAAUAGCCCGUCGCCUCUGCUGAGGUAAACAAAGUAGAGUAAGUCGUAACA